rnacentral:lncRNA from 1 species
ACAUGAACUAUUUAAUCUUAACCAACAUACAAGACUAGAAUAAGAUUAAGUUGGAAAUAAAAGUUCAAUGUACAACAAAUUUGGGUUAUGUGCUCUAGCUUAGGCUCAAAGAACUUGGUCUAACCAAUUCAAAUCAUUAGCCUAGCCAAAAGACUGUGGAGUGCUUUCUUUCUCCAAGAUUUUUUUUAGGAUAAAAUUAAAUGAAUUAAAUUAUACACAUCUGUCGAAAUUAGAAAACAAAAUAUUUAACAAUUGAACCAAAAAAUUUGUCCAAAAAUUCCAUAAUAUAGUUUUAGUAUAAAAGACAUCAUUUAAUCAGCU